GUAGUACAGUACCUUUAGAUAUGACCUAUAUAUCACAACAUCCCAGUGUAACCUUGUCCCUGUCUGGAUACAGUAGUACAGUACCUUUAGAUAUGACCUAUAUAUCACAACAUCCCAGUGUGACCUUGUCCCUGUCUGGAUACAGUAGUACAGUACCUUUAGAUAUGACCUAUAUAUCACAACAUCCCAGUGUAACCUUGUCCCUGUCUGGAUACAGUAGUACAGUACCUUUAGAUAUGACCUAUAUACCACAACAUCCCAGUGUAACCUUGUCCCUGCCUGGAUACAGUAGUACAGUACCUUUAGAUAUGACCUAUAUAUCCGUCUGCUUCCCAAAUAACACCUUAUUCCCUUUAUAGUGCACAACUUUACAUCAGAGACCUAUGAGCCAAUUGGGAAGCGGCCUGUGUGUUCUGUCUCACCUGAGGUGUGUGUUUGUUCUGUCUCACCUGAGGUGUGUGUGUGUGUUCUGUCUCACCUGAGGUGUGUGUGUGUGUUCUGUCUCACCUGAGGUGUGUGUGUGUGUUCUGUCUCACCUGAGGUGUGUGUGUGUUCUGUCUCACCUGAGGUGUGUGUGUGUGUGUUCUGUCUCACCUGAGGUGUGUGUUUGUUCUGUCUCACCUGAGGUGUGUGUGUGUGUGUGUGUGUGUUCUGUCUCACCUGAGGGGUGUGUGUGUGUGUUCUGUCUCACCUGAGGGGUGUGUGUGUGUUCUGUCUCUCCUGAGGUGUGUGUGUGUGUUCUGUCUCACCUGGGGGGUGUGUGUUCUGUCUCACCUGAGGGGUGUGUGUGUGUUCUGUCUCACCUGAGGGGUGUGUGUGUGUUCUGUCUCACCUGAGGUGUUU
ensembl:lncRNA